CAAAAUUAAAUAUAUUUCAGAGCCCACAAAGAUGGGCCAAUUCCUAAGCCCAUUCUAACACAACUAGUGAAUUUGAAUUACACAAACCCUAACUCACAACAGUCAACAGCUGCUGGCGCCGCCCACCCCCAAUCUCUCAUCUCUCAUCUCUCUCUCUCGGCUGGCCGGUGACACGCACUCCGGCACUCGACGCGACGGCGGCUCGGCCUUUUCGGCGAAGGUCCGGAGAGCUUAACAGCAGCAGUAGUGUAGCACGCACGGUUCAGUGCGAUUCUGCGCUGCACGACCUCCAUCCACCAUUCCCGCCGUUUCUUCUCGCCACCAGACACCUUUCCACCGUCGCCUACUGUCAUCUCCGUUCACUCUGCUCAGCGCGGUCUCUUCUUUUCUGCGCUAACCAGUCGGCCGCAAAAGACAUCAGCAUCAUCUGGAUCGAGCUUGCUCCUCCGCCUGCCAUUUCCCAGCCCACCGCGACAGCAGCAGCGAUGCCACGACGGCUCUGCCCUCCUCGGCGCGACAGUAGCAGCAGUGCAGCAGCCUUUAACAUGGUUGGUGUUGCCGUGUUGGUAUUGGAGAGACGACUUGGUGUUGCCGAUUCGGAAGCUGCAAAUUUAUAUUUUUAUGUUGUAUUUCAUUUAAGACUUGUUACUUUUUGAAUUUUUGAUGCCUUUAAACUAUUUGAAAGUGCAUUUUUAUGCUUUCGAUGUUUUUGGAUAUCUAAGAUUUGUUAUAAUUGAUUUGGAGAAA